rnacentral:rRNA from 1 species
AUUGAACGCUGGCGGCAGGCCUAACACAUGCAAGUCGAGCGGAUGAAGGGAGCUUGCUCCUGGAUUCAGCGGCGGACGGGUGAGUAAUGCCUAGGAAUCUGCCUGGUAGUAGGGGAUAACGUCCGGAAACGGGCGCUAAUACCGCAUACGUCCUGAGGGAGAAAGUGGGGGAUCUUCGGACCUCACGCUAUCAGAUGAGCCUAGGUCGUAUUAGCUAGUUGGUGGGGUAAAGGCCUACCAAGGCGACGAUCCGUAACUGGUCUGAGAGGAUGAUCAGUCACACUGGAACUGAGACACGGUCCAGACUCCUACGGGAGGCAGCGGUGGGGAAUAUUGGACAAUGGGCGAAAGCCUGAUCCAGCCAUGCCGCGUGUGUGAAGAAGGUCUUCGGAUUGUAAAGCACUUUAAGUUGGGAGGAAGGGCAGUAAGUUAAUACCUUGCUGUUUUGACGUUACCAACAGAAUAAGCAACGGCUAACUUCGUG